rnacentral:rRNA from 1 species
AGAGUUUGAUCAUGGCUCAGAGCGAACGCUGGCGGCAGGCCUAAAACAUGCAAGUCGAACGCCGUAGCAAUACGGAGUGGCAGACGGGUGAGUAACACGUGGGAACAUACCCUUUGGUUCGGAACAACACAGGGAAACUUGUGCUAAUACCGGAUAAGCCCUUACGGGGAAAGAUUUAUCGCCGAAGGAUUGGCCCGCGUCUGAUUAGCUAGUUGGUGGGGUAACGGCCCACCAAGGCUACGAUCAGUAGCUGGUCUGAGAGGAUGAUCAGCCACACUGGGACUGAGACACGGCCCAGACUCCUACGGGAGGCAGCAGUUAGGAAUCUUGGACAAUGGGCGCAAGCCUGAUCCAGCCAUGCCGCGUGAGUGAUGAAGGCCUUAGGGUUGUAAAGCUCUUUCAGCGGGGAAGAUAAUGACGGUACCCGCAGAAGAAGCCCCGGCUAACUUCGUGCCAGCAGCCGCGGUAAUACGAAGGGGGCUAGCGUUGCUCGGAAUCACUGGGCGUAAAGCGCACGUAGGCGGGUUCUUAAGUCAGGGGUGAAAUCCUGGAGCUCAACUCCAGAACUGCCUUUGAUACUGGGAAUCUCGAGUCCGGGAGAGGUGAGUGGAACUGCGAGUGUAGAGGUGAAAUUCGUAGAUAUUCGCAAGAACACCAGUGGCGAAGGCGGCUCACUGGGCCCGGUACUGACGCUGAGGUGCGAAAGCGGUGGGGAGCAAACAGGAUUAGAUACCCUGGUAGUCCACGCUGUAAACGAUGGAUGCUAGCCGUUGGUGGGGUUUACCCCUCAGUGGGCGCAGCUAACGCAUUUAAGCAUCCCGGCUGGGGAAGUACGGUCGCAGAUUAAAACUCAAAGGAAUUGACGG